rnacentral:rRNA from 1 species
AUGAAUGGCCCGUUCUGGAAUUUUAGGGGAGCAGGUAAGAAAGGAAUGACUACCUGCUUCUCAGAUCUAAUUAAAGAUCGUUCCUUGGAUUUUAUAGGCCUUCAAGAAACUAUGAAAAGGAAUUUUCCUUCGAAGUUUGUAAGAAAAAUUGAUCCCUUCGAUAGAUUUGCCUGGAACUAGGUUCCAUUUGUUGGGAAAUCAGGUGGUAUCCUAUGUGGUGUAAAAAAAGAAACCCUGGAGAUUUUCUCUUGGGUGGUUGGUAAUUUCCUUUUACAAGUCAAUCUAUACGAUGUGAAUCAUAAAUGUGUCUGGGCUCUCAUAGUUGUCCUGGAUCUGGGUUCCAUCUGUUGGGAAAUUAAUCAGGUGGUAUCCUGUGUGGUGUAA